AUGGCGACGGCGGUAGCAGCACUCCCCUACAGCGGCAACAGCAACUGCUUCUCCCCUUCUUCUUCGACUCUGUCAAGCCAUCCUCGUCUCGGCCAUGUCUCCCCAGACCCCAAAGCUGGAUUGCAUUGUAGCAAUAGAUGGUGCUCAUGUCACUACCAGAGUGCUGAGGUCACAAGCUGCAGCAUAUAUAGAGGGAGGAAGCACUACACAAGCCAGAAUGUGCUUGCUGCUGUUGACUUCGAUUUGAAUUUCACAUAUGUGCUGGCUGGCUGGGAAGGAUCGGCACAUGAUGCUAACAUUGUCAAUGACAUCAUGAGUCGUUGUGGUGGCAUCAACAUCCCUGAUGGCAAGUUCUACCUAGAAUAUGUUGGCUAUGCAUGUCGACCAGCUGUUCUUCCACCCUUCAGGAAAAUCAGGCACCAUCUGAACGAUUUCCCUCAUAGGAACUAUCCUGGAACUCCCCAGGAACUGUUCAAUCUCAAACACUCCAGCCUUAGAGUAACGGUUGAGAGGGCAUUUGGAGCUUUGAAGAAUAGUUAUAGGAUCCUGGAUCAGAAGCCAUUCCACCCUUACCCUACAAAGGUCAAGCUUGUUCUUGCAUGUUGCAUCAUUCAUAACUGGACCCUGCAAUGGGGAAUUGAUGGACUUGUGCUGGAGGAGGAAGAUAUGACUCCUGAUGAGGUGAUUAGCUCCGGCCAUGGUGUGGAGACGGUCGACAACAAAGCGUGGAAGAACAAAAGGUUGGAGUGGGCUCAGAUAAUAUGGGAUAAUAGAGGUCAGACAAGGAUCUGA
rnacentral:rRNA from 1 species